CCAGACUCCUACGGGAGGCAGCAGUGGGGAAUAUUGCACAAUGGGGGAAACCCUGAUGCAGCGACGCCGCGUGAGCGAUGAAGUAUUUCGGUAUGUAAAGCUCUAUCAGCAGGGAAGAAAAUGACGGUACCUGACUAAGAAGCCCCGGCUAACUACGUGCCAGCAGCCGCGGUAAUACGUAGGGGGCAAGCGUUAUCCGGAUUUACUGGGUGUAAAGGGUGCGUAGGUGGCAGGGCAAGUCAGAUGUGAAAGCCCGGGGCCCAACCCCGGUACUGCAUUUGAAACUGUCCGGCUGGAGUGCAGGAGAGGUAAGCGGAAUUCCUAGUGUAGCGGUGAAAUGCGUAGAUAUUAGGAGGAACACCAGUGGCGAAGGCGGCUUACUGGACUGUAACUGACACUGAGGCACGAAAGCGUGGGGAGCAAACAGGAUUAGAUACCCGCGUA
rnacentral:rRNA from 1 species